rnacentral:rRNA from 1 species
UACGGAGGGGGCUAGCGUUGUUCGGAAUUACUGGGCGUAAAGCGCACGUAGGCGGCGCGACAAGUCAGAGGUGAAAGGCCUGGGCUCAACCUGGGAACUGCCUUUGAUACUGGCGUGCUUGAGUCCGGAAGAGGGUGGCGGAAUUCCCGGUGUAGCGGUGAAAUGCGCAGAUAUCGGGAAGAACACCCGUGGCGAAGGCGGCACUCUGGGACGGUACUGGACGCUGAGACGCGAAAGCGUGGGGAGCGAACAGG